rnacentral:lncRNA from 1 species
CUUCUUUCACAAACUCCAGUUCAAGUUAAAGCAUAAAAAGGUAAAAUGAAGUCACAGUCAUCUUCAGUAAAGUCUCUAAUUGGUUUCUUUUUAACUUGGCCAAAUAUGGAAAUGAACAGGAUGUGUCAGAGUACUGUAAAGAGCAGUCAUGAUUUUAGGUAAUAUUCUGGUUGGUCUGCCAGGAGAAAAAAAUCCUCAUCUAUUAACAUAUAUUCACCACAGAUGAACUUAACUACUGAUAUAAAUGGAUCACGAUACAUGUUCCUAGCAGAUUAUACGGGAUAAAUUUACGUACCAAGUAAUAAACAAAAUGAAUUUUAUGGAAUGUAACUUGAUUAGCAACAGUAAAGGAAUAAAAAAAAGAAGAAGACGAAGAAAACUGCAGCAAAAAUGGCGGCUAACAGAUAGAUCAUGGGAAGCUAAAAAGAAUGAAUGAAAUAAGUUUGUUUUUGUGACUGAAAACAAGACAAGUCCAAUGGGACCCUCCUUGUCCUGUCACUAUAAGAAGGCAGCCAGGUCCACUUCAAUGCAAGGCGAAAAAGCCAACUCACCUACAAAAGAAAAUUUAAAUGACCAUGUCCGCAGCCAACACAGCGUGGAGUCACAAUCUAUCAAGGACCUUCUUUGUUCUUUCUAAUCAAGGGAACCUCUGUUGGGAGUUAGAAAAUUGUUAUCAGUCCUGCUAUCAUACGAAUGGACUCCUUUGUAGUUGGUUUUAUCGUCCACUCAAGCCAUAAAUCCAAUCAGGUGACGAAUUCAAGCACGUCUUUGCUCGCAAUGCAUGCCUCAAUCAGCUUAUCAAGACAUUGCAACCUCUACUUCCAUGACCUGUAGGGGCCCAACUGCAGAGUAUAAAGUCUUGAGUAACCAUGAACAGAUGACAAAUUUUAGUUGGUGG